rnacentral:rRNA from 1 species
AUACGUAGGGGGCGAGCGUUGUCCGGAUUUACUGGGCGUAAAGGGUGAGUAGGCGGUUAUAUAUGUCAGAUGUAAAAGGCUAUGGCUUAACCAUAGUUAGCAUUUGAAACUGUAUGACUUGAGUGCAGGAGAGGUAAGUGGAAUUCCUAGUGUAGCGGUGAAAUGCGUAGAUAUUAGGAGGAACACCAGUGGCGAAGGCGACUUACUGGACUGUAACUGACGCUGAGUCACGAAAGCGUGGGUAGC